AACGCGAAGAACCUUACCUACCCUUGACAUGUGGAAUGCCGAAGAGAUUUGGCAGUGCGCAAGAGAACCGGAACACAGGUGCUGCAUGGCUGGAGCGUGGUGAGAUGUUGGGUUAAGCCGCAACGAGCGCAACCCUUGAUUAAUUGCUACCAAAAGGCACUAAUGAAACUGCCGGUGACAAAACAGAAGAAAGAGGGGAAGAAGAAACCCACAGGCCCUUAUGGGUAGGGCUUGGCACACACACAUAAUGGAAAGAGAAGAAAAGAGAGACACCCCCAGGGGAAGAAAAAACAACAAAAAAAAUACCAUACCACAUAGUACACUAUACCGACUGCGAAUAAAGUAGCAAUUUAAACAUAACAAUAUGGCUGGGAAAAUAAAUACGUUUGUAGGGCACAUAUAAAAACAAAUGCAGACCAGGCCCAUACGAAUGAAGAGGCGUGAUAUAUUAAGAGUAGUAAUAAAACAAGGAAAAUAUAGAAAUGUUGUGUGCGAGAAGAUAAUAUUAAACAACACUACACAAAACAACAGAGAAAAAAUAAAGUAAUGGGGAGGGUGAGGAAAGAGAGAAAUAAAACACAAUAUAUUAGUUGCGUUGACCUGCCUGUUCAAUUAGAAAAGGUAAACAGGUAGUAAAUUAAAAAACAAGAAAACGCCAGGAGAGAGGAAGAUGCGGAGUGCGUACUCUCACGCACUGACACUGCCCCGGAGGCUGGUGCAACGGUAACAACAUUGAAAGGCGGUAAAGGUGAAUACACUAAAUAGGAGAAAAAAGAAGGGAAAAAAAAAGAAAAAAACAGGAAAAAAAAACAAAAAAACAAAAAAGGCGCUUGUACAUUUUUCUUAUGCCCUUACAAAGACCCCCCAAACCAAGAAAUUACA
rnacentral:rRNA from 1 species